ACACGCAGCGCCUGUGCCGCGACGGUCAGCGCCGGAUUGACGGCGGCGGAGGUCGGCAGGAAGCCGGCAUCGACGACGAAGAGAUUCGGAUGAUCGAAGGCGCGGCAAUAGACGUCGAGCGGCGCCUGGCCGGGAUCAUUGCCGAUCCGGACCGUGCCGCACUGG
rnacentral:sRNA from 1 species